UACGAAGGGGGCUAGCGUUGCUCGGAAUCACUGGGCGUAAAGGGCGCGUAGGCGGCGUUUUAAGUCGGGGGUGAAGCUGUGGCUCAACCACAGAAUGGCCCUUCGAUACUGGGACGCUUGAGUAUGGUAGAGGUUGGUGGAACUGCGAGUGUAGAGGUGAAAUUCGUAGAUAUUCGCAAGAACACCGGUGGCGAAGGCGGCCAACUGGACCAUCACUGACGCUGAGGCGCGAAAGCGUGGGGAGCAAACAGG
rnacentral:rRNA from 1 species